UAUCAGACAACUUUUCAGUUUUUAGAUAUAAUGUAUGACUCUUUGUCUUAUUUAAAAAAAUUACGAUUAAUAUUUUUAUUUUUAUUAGAUGAUAAAACAUAAAUAGUACUUCACGUGUGACUAAUUUUUUUAAAAUUUUUAAUAAAGUUUUGAAAUAAGACGGAUGAUGAAACGUUUGACACAAAAACCCA
rnacentral:pre_miRNA from 1 species